rnacentral:rRNA from 1 species
UACAGAGGUCUCAAGCGUUGUUCGGAUUCAUUGGGCGUAAAGGGUGCGUAGGCGGCGCGGUAAGUCGGGUGUGAAAUCUUGGAGCUUAACUCCGAAACUGCAUUCGAUACUGCCGUGCUUGAGGACUGGAGAGGAGACUGGAAUUUACGGUGUAGCGGUGAAAUGCGUAGAUAUCGUGAAGGAAGACCAGUGGCGAAGGCGGGUCUCUGGACAGUUCCUGACGCUGAGGCACGAAGGUCAGGGGAGCAAACGGGG